CGGAUAUGCCUGAUUGGAAAUAAAAUCUGGCGGCAGAUCGGCGCUGACGGCUCAGUUCACCGGCUGCCAGGCCUCUGGGCGUCCCUUUUUUUUUUUUUUUUUUUGGCCCCCGCCGUUGGGGGCGCUCUAACCUAAAACAACACUCAGUUGCCUGUUUCGGGGAAGCCAUCUUGGAUCGGCUGCUGCCUUGGGGCGGGGAGGGGGCAGGAGCGCCUUAAAAGAAUGGGAAGGCCUGUUCGGCGUUCCGUCCCGCGCCUGAGCUCCGGACCCCGCACGCUCCUGCAGGCAGGAUGUCCCGCAGUCGUGAGGAGGCGCUCUGGAAUGAUGCUAAACGUGGUUAGAGGCAGCCAGCGCUCGCCUCCCACCUAUCUGUAGGAGAGAAGCGGUUUUAUCAACGAGGCAAAAAUUAAUUCUUGGAAUGAGGACGGGUGUGAACCAGUCUCUAGGGAAAGCAGUGGAAGAGGACCCAUGUGCUUGGGCUCCUGCACGCAUGUAGGAGACCUGGAAGAAGCUCCUGGCUCCUGACUUCAGAUCAGCCCAGCUCUGGCUAUUGUGGCCAUUUGGCGAGUGAACCAGCAAAUAAUCUCUCUCUCUCUGUCUCUCUCUCUCUAAUUCUGCCUCUCAAAUAAAUAAAUAAAUCUAAAAAAAAAAAAAUAACAAGUGGCUUUUGCUUAUGUAUAUAUAAUUAUAGAUAUAUACUUACACAUUUA